AAAUUUAAGAGUUUGAUCAUGGCUCAGAUUGAACGCUGGCGGCAGGCCUAACACAUGCAAGUCGAACGGUAACAGGAAUCAGCUUGCUGAUUCGCUGACGAGUGGCGGACGGGUGAGUAAUGUCUGGGAAACUGCCUGAUGGAGGGGGAUAACUACUGGAAACGGUAGCUAAUACCGCAUAAUGUCGCAAGACCAAAGAGGGGGACCUUCGGGCCUCUUGCCAUCGGAUGUGCCCAGAUGGGAUUAGCUAGUAGGUGGGGUAACGGCUCACCUAGGCGACGAUCCCUAGCUGGUCUGAGAGGAUGACCAGCCACACUGGAACUGAGACACGGUCCAGACUCCUACGGGAGGCAGCAGUGGGGAAUAUUGCACAAUGGGCGCAAGCCUGAUGCAGCCAUGCCGCGUGUAUGAAGAAGGCCUUCGGGUUGUAAAGUACUUUCAGCGGGGAGGAAGGGAGUAAAGUUAAUACCUUUGCUCAUUGACGUUACCCGCAGAAGAAGCACCGGCUAACUCCGUGCCAGCAGCCGCGGUAAUACGGAGGGUGCAAGCGUUAAUCGGAAUUACUGGGCGUAAAGCGCACGCAGGCGGUUUGUUAAGUCAGAUGUGAAAUCCCCGGGCUCAACCUGGGAACUGCAUCUGAUACUGGCAAGCUUGAGUCUCGUAGAGGGGGGUAGAAUUCCAGGUGUAGCGGUGAAAUGCGUAGAGAUCUGGAGGAAUACCGGUGGCGAAGGCGGCCCCCUGGACGAAGACUGACGCUCAGGUGCGAAAGCGUGGGGAGCAAACAGGAUUAGAUACCCUGGUAGUCCACGCCGUAAACGAUGUCGACUUGGAGGUUGUGCCCUUGAGGCGUGGCUUCCGGAGCUAACGCGUUAAGUCGACCGCCUGGGGAGUACGGCCGCAAGGUUAAAACUCAAAUGAAUUGACGGGGGCCCGCACAAGCGGUGGAGCAUGUGGUUUAAUUCGAUGCAACGCGAAGAACCUUACCUGGUCUUGACAUCCACGGAAGUUUUCAGAGAUGAGAAUGUGCCUUCGGGAACCGUGAGACAGGUGCUGCAUGGCUGUCGUCAGCUCGUGUUGUGAAAUGUUGGGUUAAGUCCCGCAACGAGCGCAACCCUUAUCCUUUGUUGCCAGCGGUCCGGCCGGGAACUCAAAGGAGACUGCCAGUGAUAAACUGGAGGAAGGUGGGGAUGACGUCAAGUCAUCAUGGCCCUUACGACCAGGGCUACACACGUGCUACAAUGGCGCAUACAAAGAGAAGCGACCUCGCGAGAGCAAGCGGACCUCAUAAAGUGCGUCGUAGUCCGGAUUGGAGUCUGCAACUCGACUCCAUGAAGUCGGAAUCGCUAGUAAUCGUGGAUCAGAAUGCCACGGUGAAUACGUUCCCGGGCCUUGUACACACCGCCCGUCACACCAUGGGAGUGGGUUGCAAAAGAAGUAGGUAGCUUAACCUUCGGGAGGGCGCUUACCACUUUGUGAUUCAUGACUGGGGUGAAGUCGUAACAAGGUAACCGUAGGGGAACCUGCGGUUGGAUCACCUCCUUACCUUAAAGAA
rnacentral:rRNA from 1 species